GCCCAUGUAGCUCAGUCGGUAGAGUAUUUCCUUGGUAAGGAAAAGGUCAUCGGUUCAAUCCCGAUCAUGGGCUCCA
rnacentral:tRNA from 3 species